CGGGAAGUAGCUCAGCUUGGUAGAGCUACUUGGUUUGGGACCAAGGGGUCGCUAGGUUCGAAUCCUGUCUUCCCGA
rnacentral:tRNA from 1 species